AAAUUGAAGAGUUUGAUCAUGGCUCAGAUUGAACGCUGGCGGCAGGCCUAACACAUGCAAGUCGAACGGUAACAGGAAACAGCUUGCUGUUUCGCUGACGAGUGGCGGACGGGUGAGUAAUGUCUGGGAAACUGCCUGAUGGAGGGGGAUAACUACUGGAAACGGUAGCUAAUACCGCAUAACGUCGCAAGACCAAAGAGGGGGACCUUCGGGCCUCUUGCCAUCAGAUGUGCCCAGAUGGGAUUAGCUAGUAGGUGGGGUAACGGCUCACCUAGGCGACGAUCCCUAGCUGGUCUGAGAGGAUGACCAGCCACACUGGAACUGAGACACGGUCCAGACUCCUACGGGAGGCAGCAGUGGGGAAUAUUGCACAAUGGGCGCAAGCCUGAUGCAGCCAUGC
rnacentral:rRNA from 1 species